GACGAACGCUGGCGGCGUGCCUAAUACAUGCAAGUCGAACGCUUCUUUCCUCCCGAGUGCUUGCACUCAAUUGGAAAGAGGAGUGGCGGACGGGUGAGUAACACGUGGGUAACCUACCCAUCAGAGGGGGAUAACACUUGGAAACAGGUGCUAAUACCGCAUAACAGUUUAUGCCGCAUGGCAUAAGAGUGAAAGGCGCUUUCGAGUGUCGCUGAUGGAUGGACCCGCGGUGCAUUAGCUAGUUGGUGAGGUAACGGCUCACCAAGGCCACGAUGCAUAGCCGACCUGAGAGGGUGAUCGGCCACACUGGGACUGAGACACGGCCCAGACUCCUACGGGAGGCAGCAGUAGGGAAUCUUCGGCAAUGGACGAAAGUCUGACCGAGCAACGCCGCGUGAGUGAAGAAGGUUUUCGGAUCGUAAAACUCUGUUGUUAGAGAAGAACAAGGACGUUAGUAACUGAACGUCCCCUGACGGUAUCUAACCAGAAAGCCACGGCUAACUACGUG
rnacentral:rRNA from 1 species